rnacentral:lncRNA from 1 species
CAUUAACCCUUUCUUUUCUGUAGGCUCAAAAGACAUUGUGUGAGACAUUAAUAAACAGUCUUUCAGUGAAUCAAAUCCUCUAUUUCUCAGGAGGGCCAAUAGACAUGGGGAAAAUGAAGUUGUGAAGCUCCCAACUCUCCGAAGUCAAGGAUCUCUGGCUGUCUUCCUUGAGAAAUGCUGAAGUCACCUGAGGUAGGAACAUCAUUUAGGAAUAAGAAGUCCUGCUGAGUUGGUGAUAUCUUCGUUGUGUUACUCUUUAAUUACAUCGUAUGUGUACAUACCUGUCGCAACCUGGCAGUUCCUGCCCACCCAGCUCAGUGGAGGCCAGAAGAAGGCGCGAACCCCACCCGUGCAGCUUUUGUUGUGCCCCAGUCCUUUGAUACUAAAACCAACAGAGAGCUGCCUUGCUCUAGGACCAAGUCUUUGCUUCUCUCUGGCUCCCUACUUCCACCAUCUUCUCGGAGGGUUUAAAUAGAUCACAAGCAGAAAUUAAUUGAGAUAAAAGUUUACAGUGAAGCAGGAAGAUUGUA